rnacentral:rRNA from 1 species
AUUGCCCGCUUUCUUUCGUCCUAACACAUGCAAGUCGAACGGCAGCACAGUAAGAGCUUGCUCUUACGGGUGGCGAGUGGCGGACGGGUGAGGAAUACAUCGGAAUCUACUUUUUCGUGGGGGAUAACGUAGGGAAACUUACGCUAAUACCGCAUACGACCUACGGGUGAAAGCAGGGGAUCUUCGGACCUUGCGCGAUUGAAUGAGCCGAUGUCGGAUUAGCUAGUUGGCGGGGUAAAGGCCCACCAAGGCGACGAUCCGUAGCUGGUCUGAGAGGAUGAUCAGCCACACUGGAACUGAGACACGGUCCAGACUCCUACGGGAGGCAGCAGUGGGGAAUAUUGGACAAUGGGCGCAAGCCUGAUCCAGCCAUACCGCGUGGGUGAAGAAGGCCUUCGGGUUGUAAAGCCCUUUUGUUGGGAAAGAAAAGCAGCAGGUUAAUACCCCGCUGUUCUGACGGUACCCAAAGAAUAAGCACCGGCUAACUUCGUG